AAUUAGAUUGAUGCUACCAGGUCCCA
rnacentral:piRNA from 1 species